UUUCAAGAAUGUUAAAAAGUCAAGAAGCAAGCAGAAGUAAAACAGAUUCACCUAACCUUGUAAAAGAUAAAACUUGUCCUAUAACCUGAACACUACUACUCCUUACUCCUUAUAGUCUGGUGUUUUCAGUUUUCCUGGUAAUGUCCUAAAAACUGUCUUGCCUGUUGUAAUAUUCUUCAAAAUAUGUAAAGUGCUGUUAAUGUUCCAAAGCAUGUUUUGUUUGGUGCUACAGUGUUGGUUUUGUGAAGUCCUUAUGUCAUGUUCCUAUUAGAUUGUACCUGUGCAAAUUGUCAGACUUGUUAGACAAAUCUUUGCCUGAAAAAGCAAAACUUAAAUGCCAAUGUAUAUGUGUUUUCUCUUUCUUUUUUCAGCCCAGAAGAUUAAGGACUUAAAUCUGCUUGCACUAGUUGUGCCUUCAUUACUUUGCCAUAGAAAUGUAGUAAUAAUGCUAACUAAAACAUUCUAUUGUGAAAUGUAGUUGCUUGAGAAAAAAGAUGAUAAUAUAUUUAAAAAUAUCUGUCAGUACCACAUUAGACUUUUGUGGGUUUGUUUAUGUGAUGUACUGGUCUAUAAGCAAAAGUAUUAUUUAAGGUGUUAAAUAUGAUACAGUAUUUUAAAGAGUUGCAUCAUUGUAUAUUGUGUAAUUGAAAAGAAAAGAAAGUAUAUUUUGUUUGUAUUGUGUUUUACUUUGCCUUUUGUUGAAAAUUAUUACAUUAUUUGACUUUUUGUGUUCUUUUACUGCACAGUAAAUAAAUAAAUGUCAAAUAAACUGCCAUGCUACAAAAUGUUGCCUUUUUCUCUUAAUUAUAAAAACUGUGAUUAUCAUAAAAAGUCUAGAAUACUGAGAUUUGACUGUUUAAUAAAUAUAUGACUAUUAACAUUCUGAUAUAUUUCCUAGAUCAUAAUUCUUCAACUUGAAGAUAACCAAUGGACAUGUUGGAGAGGAAUGGGACAGGAGAAGGAGGAGAUCAUGAGAGGAAGAAGAGGAAAGUGGAAGUAGAUAAGGGAAAGAAAAAGGGUGACAGUAUUUUUGAUCCAUACAUCACAGCUGGUCACAAGGCCAGGCUGAGAUGA
rnacentral:lncRNA from 1 species